rnacentral:rRNA from 1 species
GUCGGANCUGCCCGGUGAGAUUUUUCAACGGCCGCGGUACCCUGACCGUGCAAAGGUAGCAUAAUCAUUUGCCUUAUAAUUGAAGGCUAGUAUGAAUGGUUUGACAAGAGUAUAGCUGUCUCUUUACAAUUUAAUAGAAUUUUAUUUUUAGGUGAAAAAGCCUAGGUUGGAUUAAAAGACAAGAAGACCCUAUCGAGCUUUAAAGGAGUUAAUAGAUGUGUAAUUUUUAUUUUAUAAAUAAUAUGGCUAUUAAAUAUUUUGGUUGGGGCGACUGAGGAACAUGAAAAGCUUCCUUUAAGGUUUUGUAAGACGUACAGGUAUUGAUCCAUAGUUUAGUGAUUAAAGAAAUUAGUUACCGUAGGGAUAACAGCAUUAUCUUUUUUGAGAGUUCUAAUCGAAAAAAGGGUUUGUGACCUCGAUGUUGGACCAGAAUGUCCUAAAGAUGCAGAAGUCUUUAAGGGUUGGUCUGUUCGACCAUUAAAAUUCUA